AGAGCCUAAAGGUUAAAAGAUGGAGGGUGGAGGCUAGAAGAUGGAGGCUAGAGGGUGGAGGCUAGAGGGUGGAGGCUAGAGGCUGGAGGGUGGAGGCUAUAAGAUGGAGGCUAGAGGGUGGAGGCUAUAAGAUGGAGGCUAGAGGGUGGAGGCUAGAGGCUGGAUGGGGGCCUCCUGUGAAAGGAGACGAGUGUGUGGGAGCAGGAAAUUGGUUUUCCAGGCUAGAAUCUCCCCUUUGCUUUAGGAGGCGUUUGUUGCAUAGAUAUGCAACAUGGACACACGUCUGUCAGUGAAAAGAAUGUCGAAGCUUUUAAUGACUUUUAAACCCUCCCCCACCCUCAUAUCGAGUGUAACCUUUCCUCAGAGAAGAUCAUUUCUGAUGCAAUUGGUUCACAAGUAGUAUAUUCUUCCUCUCUUGAAAUGCACGAUAAUACUACCCAAGAGUGUUAAGACUGUGAAUAUCCUCCUAACUUAUUUGAUAUAUGGCAUGAACCCUUUCAAACUGCUUGAAACUGUCUACUGAGGUAUGUAAAUGAAUAACACUGAGCCCAUGAAAGCAUUGCAUUAUGAGAAAGGAAAGGAGUCAGGUGAGGAGGCGAGGGCAGCCUCCAGUCGCUUCCUCGCCCACACGCGUGUCUUUUCUUAUUUACACGCAAGUGAUGAGUGAUAUUAUUCCAAAUACUAAAAACAGUUUCCCUAAAGCCCCCCAGAACAAAAGGAGUUAGACAUGUUAACACUUUCAGGGAAACCAGCCCAGACCAAAAUUCAACUGUGUGUUUGGGGCGGGGGGGGGGGGGGGCACCUCUGCAUGUUAGACACAUAUCUGUGGCACCUCCUGAUGUAGGAAUGUCUCGCUGAGUGGCACUUUUCACCAAGCUGAGCAAAACCAAAAGCAAUGCCCCCCCCCCAACGCCCCCCCCCCCUCCCACACCCCCACCUUCAGCUGUAGUUACAAGCCGUGUGGUCUUAUCAUGUGUGCCUUUCUCACCCCUCAUCUCAACAUAGGGAACGUUUACACUUGGCAGGCCUGACUCAAACAUUCAGUCUAGAUUUCUUACACAAUGCUGUCGGGGUACUUGGGGUGGGGGGGGGGGGGGGUAGUAGAUGUAUAUGGAGAUAAAACAGGCGGCUAAAGAAACUGUGAUCUCAUUCUGUGGUACAAAACUGCAUGGACAGUAAUCUGAAAACCUCGUCCUCAUCAUCAUCAUCAUCAUCAUCCCUAGAUAAUGCAUCAGUGUGAAAGGCAAUAUUUUGGAACAAGUGAAAGUCUACAUAUUUGUAUUAAGAAGAAGCAGUGUUAUUGUUGUUGUAUUAAAUGCGUUUAAAAGACUUAAAAAAAAUCAAAAGUCUGUGAAAAAGACAAAAAAAAUCCACAGCCAAGGCCUGUCCUGCUAGCAUAUUUUUACAGAGAUGAGCUAUUUUUAUUGGUGAUUUUCUAGGCAUUAAUAUUGAAAUCCUUUUCAAAAAGUACAAAACUUCCAAAAUUACAAGCACUUCCUCAACAAUAGAUUGUGUGGUCUCUUGUACUUUGUAGAUGUGCUCGUCUUUACUACUGCAACGUUUGUAAAGUGGGACAGCCCUGCUGUGUGUCCUCGGGGUCUCAUGAUGUUUUAGUCAUUUUGUUUAGGAAGUAAAACACUGUAGAUGGGCCGAACUCGUGACUGUGUGUUUGUGUACUUGUGUACAUGUUCCCCUGUUCCUGUGUCAGUGUUAUAAAGCAGAGAAGUGAUGUCAGUUAUUGUUGGAUGAACCAUUUUAAAUGUUCUCUAUGAAAAACGCAAAUAAAGAAUCAUAGACACG
ensembl:lncRNA